rnacentral:lncRNA from 1 species
CUUUUUCAUUACACUUGCAGACACUGAUAACAAGUGUGUUUGUGCUGCUGAGCUCAGGAUUGCCGUUGUCUGAGAUGAUGACAGGCAGGUAGUGGAUUUUGGCAAGUUCACGAUUAAACUGUCCAUCCUUGACAGUGAUAUUAGCUGUGUUAUCGGGGUUCUCAGUCAAGGAGAAGUUGCUAUCUUCUGUGGUUAGGGAGUAUGUGAAGAAACCUCCAGGUGAUAUUUCAUCCUUGUCAGUAGCUGAAAUCCUGAUGAUUACCU